UACGGAGGGUGCGAGCGUUAAUCGGAAUUACUGGGCGUAAAGCGCACGCAGGCGGUAAUUUAAGUUAGAUGUGAAAGCCCAGGGCUUAACCUUGGAAUAGCAUUUAAGACUGGAUUGCUAGAGUUUUGUAGAGGGGUGUGGAAUUCCAAGUGUAGCGGUGAAAUGCGUAGAUAUUUGGAGGAACAUCAGUGGCGAAGGCGGCACCCUGGACAAAGACUGACGCUCAUGUGCGAAAGUGUGGGUAGCGAACAGG
rnacentral:rRNA from 1 species